rnacentral:lncRNA from 1 species
GGAGUCCACUGCAAUAAUCCAGGAGAGAAAUCAUGUGAGCUUGAGAAGGAAUCAGAUUCUGCAUAUAUUUCCAAGUUAACAUGAACAAGAUUUUCUGAAAGACUGCUAUGGAGUCUGAGAAAAAAUGUCAAAGGUAGUGCCAAAAUUGUCACUUAAAGAACUGCAGGAAUGGAGUUGGCAUUUACAGAAUUUGGAAGAGAAGCAGGUUUAGUGAUAAAGACCAGAAGCACAGAGCUAAGCAUAUUAAAUAUUGAGGACAUGAAGAGGAAAGAACUGACAGAGGAGGUGAAGAAAGGUGAUCAGGAAGAGCCAUCAAAGUGUUAUCCUGGAAUUCAAGUGAAGACAGUGUUUCAAAGUGGAAAUGAACAGUGUCCUGUAACCCUCAGAGUGAGACUAGAGUCAGAAUGCAGGCUUUUCUCAUUUGAAAUCUCAAGGUAAGUCCAGGUCCUUACCUCCACCUAAAAGUUCUGCCAUCAAGGAACAUCUGCUCAUUAUCUUCUGUUCACACAUCAAAUGACUUCAAUGUGAUCCCUGGAUGUUCUCCAAAGAGCUGAAGGGAAAUAAAUAUUCUUUCUUUAUCACCAAAUACUUCAACUGCAGAGUGAUUGUGCUACCAAGGCCUGAAACUUCGGAAAAACCUGCAUAACACAAAAUAUAAAAUAUGCCACAGAGAGGAUCCAGAGAGCCCAUCUCCGGUCAGUUAUCUGUAUUUGUAUGUCAACUACAGCAUCAAAAAGCAUAGGCAUGGAUACUAAGGACCCCCUCUGUACACCAACGCCAGUCCAAAGGACAGUGUGUCACUGUGAACUGGAAAUUCAUCUCUCUUCUUCAAUUUUUUUCUACCUACUUUAUGCUUUAUCUCUAAGUUGAGGCUGUUUAUGGCCUCAUCCUCAAUUACCUUGUCCCUCAUUACUCCCAGUUAAUGGAGAUUAAGCUUUGUAUCAUGACUUCCUAACUAAAAUUGAAAUCACAAGACAUCACAUAAAUAAAGUUACAAAUGGAUUAGAUAAACAUUCAUUUUGCUAUAAGGUAAAUGUAAAAGUGUAUUAAAAAUAAUUCAUAUAAAGGAGAGGGAGAAGCUUUACUCUGGAGAUAGAAGAUACCAGAAGAUUUCUUCAUCUCUAAAAUGGGUGCAACUUUCAUUCCAUUGUUAAUUUAGGACAGCUUUUCUUGCAAAAGGAAAUCUUGAGGUGGUACUUCAGAUGUACUCAGAAGUGAGCCCUGUCAGCUUUUUGUCUGGUGACAUCUGUCAUUUUCUCUUGUUUACCUUCUGGAACAGCUCUAGUGAUGUCUGCUGUCAGUGUCUCUGAUAUGGUGUUAGUAUGAGAAUUCGUAACUUCUUCCUCCUUUUUUCUUCUACACAUCAGCUUGAUUUGCUAUUAACCAUCUCCUGCUUGUCCCUGACAACCCUCCUGUCACCCCCAGAAGCUGCUAUUGCUGAUGUUUGCACUGUUGAAAGACCACAGGUGGCAGAGA